GUACUCACUUUCUCACCUCAAAUGCUAAAAUUGGAAAGAUACAGAGAUUAGUAUGGCCCCUGCCCAAGAAUGAUGUGAAAUUUUUUGUUAAACAUUUUUUAUUUUU